rnacentral:rRNA from 1 species
UACGAAGGGGGCUAGCGUUGCUCGGAAUCACUGGGCGUAAAGGGUGCGUAGGCGGGUUUUUAAGUCAGAGGUGAAAUCCUGGAGCUCAACUCCAGAACUGCCUUUGAUACUGAGAAUCUUGAGUAUGGGAGAGGUGAGUGGAACUGCGAGUGUAGAGGUGAAAUUCGUAGAUAUUCGCAAGAACACCAGUGGCGAAGGCGGCUCACUGGCCCGAUACUGACGCUGAGGUGCGAAAGCGUGGGGAGCAAACAGG